AUGAACGCUGGCGGCGUGCCUAAUACAUGCAAGUCGAGCGAACAGACGAGGAGCUUGCUCCUCUGACGUUAGCGGCGGACGGGUGAGUAACACGUGGAUAACCUACCUAUAAGACUGGGAUAACUUCGGGAAACCGGAGCUAAUACCGGAUAAUAUAUUGAACCGCAUGGUUCAAUAGUGAAAGACGGUUUUGCUGUCACUUAUAGAUGGAUCCGCGCCGCAUUAGCUAGUUGGUAAGGUAACGGCUUACCAAGGCAACGAUGCGUAGCCGACCUGAGAGGGUGAUCGGCCACACUGGAACUGAGACACGGUCCAGGCUCCUACGGGACGCAGCAGUAGGGAAUCUUCCGCAAUGGGCGAAAGCCUGACGGAGCAACGCCGCGUGAGUGAUGAAGGUCUUCGGAUCGUAAAACUCUGUUAUUAGUGAAGAACAAAUGUGUAAGUAACUAUGCACGUCUUGACGGUACCUAAUCAGAAAGCCACGGCUAACUACGUG
rnacentral:rRNA from 1 species